GAUGUUUUCCUCUUUUUCCUCUUGUCUUCUGGAAAAGCUGCUCCCCUGAUGUUACCAAUACUCAGGAAUUAUAGAAGGGGCUUCUUUAAUCCUUUGAAAACAAACACAAUAUUAUUGUAGAUUUGGCCGCUGAAUCCACUGCAGACACAGCUCAGAUACACAUAAGGGGAAGACCGUGUGAAGACACAGGCGGAAGACAGCCAUCUGUAAGCCAAGGAAUGAGGCCUCGGGAGAAGCCAACCCUGUCAACAUCUUGAUUUUGAAUUUCUAGCCUCCAAAAUUGUGACACAAAUUUCUGUUGCAUAAGCCACCCAGUCUGUGGUAUUUAUGGCAGCCUUAGCAAACUAAUAAACCAUCAUUAUAUCUUGUCAGCUCAUUAGAGAGGAAUGAUGUCCAGCCUGGAAAUCCUUAGCUUAUCUGAGAAAAAUCAUCAUGACAGAGGCAAAUAUUUUCUGCUCUUUUCUAUCUCUACUUCAUGUCAUCUGACUAUAGAACUUUCUCAUCCUUUUUGUGAUAGAUCACCUUAUUAUUCCGCAAAUAUUUACUUUCCUCUUCUCCGAGGGAGGGAUAUACCUCUGCUCCACUUACAUUUACUUGGUCAGGUGACUUACUUUAAUCAGUUAAGUGUUGAAAUGAUGUGAGGGUUGAAAUGUGUUUGCACACUAACCUUGGCUUUCCCUUGCCCUUGGAAAUCAGGCCUCAGAACAAAUACAUGUGAGAGCAGACUUGAAUUGACCCUGUAGCCUGAAUGAAAAGUCCAUCCUGGCUCAGGCAAAUUGCAGUCAACACUCAGACCUGUGAGAAUAAAUUAUUAUUGUUCUAAGCUACUGAUACUUGAGGUGGAUUUUUUUUUAUUAUUGUGGCAACAGCUGAUGCAUCUAUUGUUAUUUUAUCCCGUGAUAUCCUUUAACAUGCUAUAUCUGGGUCAUAUUGUGUAAUGAGAGUCUCCACUGGUUUUUCUGUUUGAUUUGGGGAAAAUGCAUGCCAGGAUCCUUCCAAAAAUUUCCCACAUCCUGGAGUUCAAGGGUAGAGAUUCAUUCCAUUAAGUUUCAAUACUCUCUGGUCUUUCGGAAUCUCCCUCUGAAGAGAAUCUUGGGCAGAAGAGUAACUUCCAAAGACCAAAUCAGCAAAUCUUAUUGUUAUUAAAUUAUAACAGGAUAAAACCUGCCAG